rnacentral:rRNA from 1 species
UGGCUCAGGAUGAACGCUAGCGGCAGGCUUAACACAUGCAAGUCGAGGGGUAGAAGUCUUCGGACUUUGAGACCGGCGCACGGGUGCGUAACGCGUAUGCAAUCUACCUUUUACAGAGGGAUAGCCCAGAGAAAUUUGGAUUAAUACCUCAUAGUAUAAUGACUCGGCAUCGAGAUAUUAUUAAAGUCACAACGGUAAAAGAUGAGCAUGCGUCCCAUUAGCUAGUUGGUAAGGUAACGGCUUACCAAGGCUACGAUGGGUAGGGGUCCUGAGAGGGAGAUCCCCCACACUGGUACUGAGACACGGACCAGACUCCUACGGGAGGCAGCAGUGAGGAAUAUUGGACAAUGGGCGCAAGCCUGAUCCAGCCAUGCCGCGUGCAGGAUGACGGUCCUAUGGAUUGUAAACUGCUUUUAUACGAGAAGAAACACUCC